GCGCAAUGAAUAUACAACUGCAGAAUUGUUUUGUUUCAUUCUUUCGCAAGAAAAAUAUAAACAACAAACAAACAAUUGAAAUUUGAAAUUUGGCUGAUUAUUUGUCAUGGCAUUUAUUCAACAAUAUUCAACAAUAUAAACCAACAAACAACCAACAUCAACAAACUGGCCAACAAGUUAAAACUUGAUGACAAUUGGUCACUGAAGGGAAACCAACAGUAAAUGCAUAAUAAUUUCUAGCUGCUGGGCAGAUCCAUAACAGCUUAAUGAACGAUAUUUGAAUAAAUCACUGCCAGUUGAAACAUGUUGAUGAUGACAUCCAACGCACUUUCCAUAUUGAACGAAAUGCCAUGACGAUAGACAC
rnacentral:lncRNA from 1 species